AAAAGUCACCUAAGAGGUGACUCUUUAGGCGACCGCCAGUGACUAGUUUUAAUAGAAUUCACCUAUGACACCUGGCGACAACCUACGACAACACCUACGACAACACCAACGACAUUAAAUAUUGUCGCCA